rnacentral:rRNA from 1 species
AGCGAACGCUGGCGGCAGGCCUAACACAUGCAAGUCGAACGAACCCUUCGGGGUUAGUGGCGGACGGGCGAGUAACACGUGGGAACGUGCCUUUAGGUUCGGAAUAACUCAGGGAAACUUGUGCUAAUACCGAAUGUGCCCUUCGGGGGAAAGAUUUAUCGCCUUUAGAGCGGCCCGCGUCUGAUUAGCUAGUUGGUGAGGUAAUGGCUCACCAAGGCUACGAUCAGUAGCUGGUCUGAGAGGAUGACCAGCCACAUUGGGACUGAGACACGGCCCAAACUCCUACGGGAGGCAGCAGUGGGGAAUCUUGCGCAAUGGGCGAAAGCCUGACGCAGCCAUGCCGCGUGGAUGAUGUAGGUCUUAGGAUUGUAAAAUCCUUUCACCGGUGAAGAUAAUGACUGUAGCCGGAGAAGAAGCCCCGGCUAACUUCGUGCCAGCCGCCGCAGUAACAC